UUCUUAUCCAGAGAGGUCGAGGGUAAGGCCCGACGACGCCUCAGCAACCAGCAAUCAUUUUUUUGAUUGAAAAGGUGCUAAUUCCUGCAAGUUUCUAAAACUUGAAAGAUAAGAA
rnacentral:ncRNA from 2 species